UGUGAACCUGCUUAUUUGCAGUGUUUAAUUUGAUGGCAAGUCUUAUUUCAAUGUAUCAUCUUUAAAAUUAUUGGAACUUGGCACAGAGGAUUAACUUGGUUUGGAUGUGGAGAAGCAGUCAGCUGUCACUAGUUUUCAGUUUCAGGAGUGACAGCCAGACCAACAAAUCUGAUGACUAAAAUAUUUGAAGGGUUAUAUACAACUUACCUUUUGGGCAACCACUUGAUCACCUUAUACACAAUAAUUACCUUUCCUUUGUUCAGCAUGUUUCAGCAUUUGCUUUCAGACAUACAUUUUCCUCUUCAAAGUCAAAUAAAGUCAUGUAACAGUGUUUGCACAUGAAGUAAAGUUUUUCACAUAUUAGUUUAAAUGUUUUACAGAAUCAUGAAGAGCUUACUGUAUGUUAUAUUUAGUUCAAUCUCAGGCAUGUGAGAAGAGAUUUUUCUUCUUGACUAAUUUGAGAAGUUUGGCUAGCAGGACCAUUAAAACCUAGAAGAUUUAUUACCAGAGAUUUUCCAAAUGGAAAAUAAUAUCUCUGGCAGAUUUUUUAUUGGACAAUUAAAGCUCAGUGGUCACUGCAAUACUAAUCUUGUUUCAUGGUGAUAUUAUGACUCUCAAAGUUAUAAAAAGCAUGUUCUUAUAUGGAGAAAACAUUAAAUAUAGCACAGUGAGCUCUUCUGUUUGUAUUAGGGGGCAGUUGUGAUCUAAUGGUUAACGAGUCAGACUUGUAACCUAAGGUUGCAGGUUUGAGUCUUGGUACCAGCAGGGAUUGUAGGUGGGUGAUAUGAAUGACUAGUGCUCUCUUCCACCCUCAAUCUCACGACUGAGUUUAGACCCUUGAGCAAGAACCAAACGUCCAUAGACUCCCCAGAUCUCUCAUCUAGGCCACAGUGAAGACUUACCUGACCUAUCAUCACUCCAAAAUCUCUCAUCACGGCUCUUGGCUCUCAGCUUGUUGACCUGGGACUCAGAGAUAUCAGCGCGCUCCUGAGCCUCCUCCAGCUCAUGCUGCACCUUCCUGUACCUGGACAACUUAAGAGCUGGUCGACUGGAUCUGGGGUUAGGCUGGAUUGGUGAAAGGCUGACUUAGAAACCGGAACUGACACCUCGGUGACGAGGGGAUACCAGGUUGCUGGAUCCUGGUAUGGUCAAGCCUUCUGUAACGGAGUCAGAGACGUUUGGAUCCAUUUGCAGUAUUUUAAUAAGAGAAUGGUCAAACAGGCAGUAAUCAGAGCACAGCGUCAAGUAUUUCAAGAAAUAUCCAGAAUCAAUAUCAUUACCAGGCAGGACAGGCGGCAAAGAAUCACAGGUGGUAACACAAUCCAAAAUCAAACACAGAAAGAACAAACACUAGGGAAACCCUCAGAAAUGCUAGACAGGGCUAAACAAAACUUAGCAAUCAUUGCGAGUCCAAACACAGUUUAUAUAGGAGGUGGGAAUGGGGAACACCUGGUGGUGAUUAGCCCUAAGCACAGGAUUAAGGGAAAUGGAGUUGGGAAUGGAAAUGGACAUCAUAUGCAAGAGUCCUGAGUGGAGUACCCUCUACAGGAGUUCAUGGGCACUACAGCUGAUGAUCGUGACAUAUAUAUUCAAUUCAAGAUUAUUUGUAUAGCAUUUUUCACAAUGUUAAUCUUUGCAAAGCAGCUUUAAAGAAAAUUACAAUUUCCACAUAAUAUUUAGUAAUAGCAUAUCAGUGUUGACUGAUGAUGUCCAUAUGGCAGAAAUGUACAGUGAAAAUCAAGCAGUUAGUUAAUGAUGUAUUCAAACAGACAGUGAACAAUAUUUGUUGCUAUUUCUAUGUCUUUACUACUCUGUCAUAUGAAACUGCAUUAUUUGUAAAUGAAUUAGGUAAAUGUCCAAUGAAAUUGUAUCUUUUUAAUCAAUAUUUGUUGCUUUGGUGUACCUUCAGAAAGGCACUAUAUAAAUUAAACAUAUUAUUGUUAUCAAUGAUUAUAUGUGGCGAUCAAACGUACAGCAAAUUUUGGUAAUUUGGUGUGUUGUCUAAGGUUUGUGUGUGUGUAUAUAUAUAUCUAUUCAAAUAUAUGUCGUAAGUAAAAAAGAGACUUGACUUGGUAACAGAUGCUUCCAGUGCAGAAGAAAGUACAGAGAUGCAAACCUGACAGUGCAGACACACACAGGAAUUACACAUUACAUUUACAUUUUAUCAUUUAGCAGAUGCUUUUAUCCAAAGCGACUUACAAAUGAGAACAAUAGAAGCAGUCAGGUCAACAAGAGAACAACAACAAUAUACAAGUGCCAUGACAAGUCUCAGUUAGUCUAGUAUAGAACGCAUAGCCAGGUUUUUUUUAUUUUAUUUUUUUAUUUUUUUAUUAAAUUAAAUGAAAAAGACAAGAAAAGGAAAAGUGCUGGUGUUAGUUGGUUAAGUGCAGGCAAAAAAAAUGAGUCUUUAGAUGUUUCUUGAAAAUGAGUAAAGACUCGUAAUGAGUAAAGCUGUACGAAUUGAGAUUGGGAGGUCAUUCCACCAGCUGGGCACAGUCCAGGAAAAGGUCCGUGAGAGUGAUUUUGAACUUCUUUGGGAUGGUACCACAAGGCGUCGUUCACUUGCAGAGCACAAACUUCUGGAGGGCACAUAAGAUUUAACCAGUGGGUUUAGGUAAGUUGGUGCCGUGCCAGUGGUUGUCUUGUAGGCAAGCAUCAGUACCUUGAAUUUGAUGCGAGCGGCUACUGGUAGCCAGUGUAACCUGAUGAGGAGAGGAGUAACAUGAGCUUUUUUUGGCUCAUUGAAGACAACCCUCGCUGCUGCAUUCUGGAUCAAUUGCAGAGGCUUGACAGUACAUGCAGGAAGGCCUGCCAGGAGAGCAUUACAAUAGUCCAGUCUGGAGAGAACAAGAGCUUGGACAAGAAGUUGGGUUGCUUGCUCUGACAGGAAGGGUCUAAUCUUCCUAAUGUUGUAUAAGGCAAACCUGCAGGACCGGGUCGUUGUAGCAAUGUGGUCAGUGAAGCUUAACUGAAGAUCCAUCACAACUCCUAGGUUUCUGGCUGUCCUCGAAGGAGGUAUGGUUGACGAGCCCAGCUGUAUAGAGAAGUUGUGAUGAAGCAAUGGGUUAGCUGGAAUCACCAGGAGUUCAGUCUUUGUAAGGUUAAGCUGAAGUUGAUGGUCAUUCAUCCAGCUAGAAAUGUCACUCAGACAGGCUGAAAUGCGAGCAGCUACUGUCAGGUCAACUGGCUGGAAUGAGAAGUAGAGUUGGGUGUAAUCAGCGUAGCAGUGAUAAGAAAAGCCAUGCUUCUGAAUGAAAGAUCCUAAAUCAAUCAAUCAAUCACCUUUAUUUAUAUAGUGCUUUAAACAAAAUACAUUGCGCCAAAGCACUGAACAACAUUCAUUUGGAAAACAGUGUCUCAAAAAUGCAAAAUGAUAGUUAAAGGCAGUUCAUCAUUGAAUUCAGUUAUGUAAUCUCUGUUCAGUUGAAAUAGUGUCUGUUUUAAUUUGCAAUCAAGUCAAUGAUAUCGCUGUAGAUGAAGUGACCCCAACUAAGCAAGCCAGAGGCGACAGCGGCAAGGAACCGAAACUCCAUCGGUGACAGAAUGGAGAAAAAAACCUUGGGAGAAACCAGGCUCAGUUGGGGGGCCAGUUCUCCUCUGACCAGACGAAACCAGUAGUUCAAUUCCAGGCUGCAGCAAAGUCAGAUUGUGCAGAAGAAUCAUCUGUUUCCUGUGGUCUUGUCCUGGUGCUCCUCUGAGACAAGGUCUUUACAGGGGAUCUGUAUCUGGGGCUCUAGUUGUCCUGGUCUCCGCUGUCUUUCAGGGCAGUAGAGGUCCUUUCUAGGUGCUGAUCCACCAUCUGGUCUGGAUACGUACUGGAUCCGGGUGACUGCAGUGACCCUCUGAUCUGGACACAGACUGGAUCUGGUGGCCACGGUGACCUCGGAACAAGAGAGAAACAGACAAAUAUUAGCGUAGAUGCCAUUCUUCUAAUGAUGUAGAAAGUACGGUGUUAUGUGAAGUGUUCCGGUUCCAGUUUACCUAAUUAAUGCAGCCUAAAAAUCCUUUAACGGAUUUGGAUAUUAAAAGCAUAUUAGUAUGUUAUGUGUAUGCCAGGUUAAAGAGAUGGGUCUUUAAUCUAGAUUUAAACUGCAAGAGUGUGUCUGCCUCCCGAACAAUGUUAGGUAGGUUAUUCCAGAGUUUAGGCGCCAAAUAGGAAAAGGAUCUGCCGCCUGCAGUUGAUUUUGAUAUUCUAGGUAUUAUCAAAUUGCCUGAGUUUUGAGAACGUAGCGGACGUAGAGGAGUAUAAUGUAAAAGGAGCUCAUUCAAAUACUGAGGUGCUAAACCAUUCAGGGCUUUAUAAGUAAUAAGCAAUAUUUUAAAAUCUAUACGAUGUUUGAUAGGGAGCCAGUGCAGUGUGGACAGGACCGGGCUAAUAUGGUCAUACUUCCUGGUUCUAGUAAGAACUCUUGCUGCUGCAUUUUGGACUAGCUGUAGUUUGUUUACCAAGCGUGCAGAACAACCACCCAAUAAAGCAUUACAAUAGUCUAACCUUGAAGUCAUAAAUGCAUGGAUUAACAUUUCUGCAUUUGACAUUGAGAGCAUAGGCCGUAGUUUAGAUAUAUUUUUGAGAUGGAAAAAUGCAGUUUUACAAAUGCUAGAAACAUGGCUUUCUAAGGAAAGAUUGCGAUCAAGUAGCACACCUAGGUUCCUAACUGAUGACGAAGAAUUAACAGAGCAACCAUCAAGUCUUAGACAGUGUUCUAGGUUAUUACAAUUAGAGUUUUUAGGCCCUAUGAUAAACACCUCUGUUUUUUCUGAAUUUAGCAGUAAGAAAUUACUCGUCAUCCAAUUUUUUAUAUCCACUAUGCAUUCCAUUAGUUUUUCAAAUUGGUGUGUUUCACCGGGCUGCGAGGAAAUAUAGAGCUGCGUAUCAUCAGCAUAACAGUGAAAGCUAACACCAUGUUUCCUGAUGAUAUCUCCCAAGGGUAACAUAUAAAGCGUGAAGAGUAGCGGCCCUAGAACUGAGCCUUGAGGUACUCCAUACUGCACUUGUGAUCGAUAUGAUACAUCUUCAUUCACUGCUACGAACUGAUGGCGGUCACAUAAGUACGAUUUAAACCAUGCUAAUGCACUUCCACUGAUGCCAACAAAGUGUUCAAGUCUAUGCAAAAGAAUGUUGUGGUCAAUUGUGUCAAACGCAGCACUAAGAUCCAAUAAAACUAAUAGAGAGAUACACCCACGAUCAGAUGAUAAGAGCAGAUCAUUUGUAACUCUAAGGAGAGCAGUUUCAGUACUAUGAUACGGUCUAAAUCCUGACUGGAAAUCCUCACAUAUACCAUUUUUCUCUAAGAAGGAAUAUAAUUGUGAGGAUACCACCUUUUCUAGUAUCUUGGACAGAAAAGGGAGAUUCGAGAUUGGUCUAUAAUUAACUAGUUCUCUGGGGUCAAGUUGUGGCUUUUUUAUGAGAGGCUUAAUAACAGCCAGUUUGAAGGUUUUGGGGACAUAUCCUAAUGACAAUGAGGAAUUAAUAAUAGUCAGAAGAGGACCUAUGACUUCUGGAAGCACCUCUUUUAAGAGCUUAGAUGGUAUAGGGUCUAACAUACAUGUUGUAAGUUUAGAUGAUUUAACAAGUUUAUACAAUUCUUCCUCUCCUAUAGUAGAGAAUGAGUGGAACUGUUCCUCAGGGGGUCUAUAGUGCACUGUCUGAUGCAAAACUGUAGCUGACGGCUGAAUGGUUGCAAUUUUAUCUCUAAUAGUAUCGAUUUUAGAAGUAAAGUAGUUCAUAAAGUCAUUACUGCUGUGGUGUUGGGAAAUGUCAACACUUGUUGAGGCUUUAUUUUUCGUUAAUUUAGCCACUGUAUUGAAUAAAUACCUGGGGUUAUGUUUGUUUUCUUCUAAAAGAGAAGAAAAGUAAUCAGAUCUAGCAGUUUUUAAUGCUUUUCUGUAGGAUAUGCUACUUUCCCGCCAAGCAAUACGAAAUACCUCUAGUUUUGUUUUCCUCCAGCUGUGCUCCAUUUUUCGGGCUGCUCUCUUUAGGGUGCGAGUAUGCUCAUUAUACCAUGGUGUCAAACUGUUUUCCUUAACCUUUCUUAAGCGUAAAGGAGCAACUGUAUUUAAAGUGCUACAAAAGAGAGAGUCCAUAGUUUCUGUUACAUCAUCAACUUGUUCUGAGGUUUUGGAUAUGCUAAGGAAUUCGGAUACAUCAGGAAGAUAACUUAAAAAGCAGUCUUUUGUGGUAGAAGUGAUGGUUCUUCGAUACUUGUAACAAGAAGUAGAAUUUACAAUUUUGGCUAUAUGAAGUUUACACAGAACUAAAUAAUGAUCUGAAGAUGUAUCAUAUCGAUCACAAGUGCAGUAUGGAGUACCUCAAGGCUCAGUUCUAGGGCCGCUACUCUUCACACUUUAUAUGUUACCCUUGGGAGAUAUCAUCAGGAAACAUGGUGUUAGCUUUCACUGUUAUGCUGAUGAUACGCAGCUCUAUAUUUCCUCGCAGCCCGGUGAAACACACCAAUUUGAAAAACUAAUGGAAUGCAUAGUCGAUAUAAAAAAUUGGAUGACGAGUAAUUUCUUACUGCUAAAUUCAGAAAAAACAGAGGUGUUAAUCAUAGGGCCUAGAAACUCUACUUGUAAUAACCUAGAACACUGUCUAAGACUUGAUGGUUGCUCUGUCAAUUCUUCGUCAUCAGUUAGGAACCUAGGUGUGCUACUUGAUCGCAAUCUUUCCUUAGAAAGCCACGUUUCUAGCAUUUGUAAAACUGCAUUUUUCCAUCUCAAAAAUAUAUCUAAAUUACGGCCUAUGCUCUCAAUGUCAAAUGCAGAAAUGUUAAUCCAUGCAUUUAUGACUUCAAGGUUAGACUACUGUAAUGCUUUAUUGGGUGGUUGUUCUGCACGCUUGGUAAACAAACUACAGCUAGUCCAAAAUGCAGCAGCAAGAGUUCUUACUAGAACCAGGAAGUAUGACCAUAUUAGCCCGGUCCUGUCCACACUGCACUGGCUCCCUAUCAAACAUCGUAUAGAUUUUAAAAUAUUGCUUAUUACUUAUAAAGCCCUGAAUGGUUUAGCACCUCAGUAUUUGAAUGAGCUCCUUUUACAUUAUACUCCUCUACGUCCGCUACGUUCUCAAAACUCAGGCAAUUUGAUAAUACCUAGAAUAUCAAAAUCAACUGCGGGCGGCAGAUCCUUUUCCUAUUUGGCGCCUAAACUCUGGAAUAACCUACCUAACAUUGUUCGGGAGGCAGACACACUCUUGCAGUUUAAAUCUAGAUUAAAGACCCAUCUCUUUAACCUGGCAUACACAUAACAUACUAAUAUGCUUUUAAUAUCCAAAUCCGUUAAAGGAUUUUUAGGCUGCAUUAAUUAGGUAAACUGGAACCGGAACACUUCACAUAACACCGUACUUUCUACAUCAUUAGAAGAAUGGCAUCUACGCUAAUAUUUGUCUGUUUCUCUCUUGUUCCGAGGUCACCGUGGCCACCAGAUCCAGUCUGUAUCCAGAUCAGAGGGUCACUGCAGUCACCCGGAUCCAGUACGUAUCCAGACCAGAUGGUGGAUCAGCACCUAGAAAGGACCUCUACUGCCCUGAAAGACAGCGGAGACCAGGACAACUAGAGCCCCAGAUACAGAUCACCUGUAAAUACCUUGUCUCAGAGGACCACCAGGACAAGACCACAUUCCAGACUGGAAUUGAACUACUGGUUUUGUCUGGUCAGAGGAGAAUUGGCCCCCCAACUGAGCCUGGUUUCUCCCAAGGUUUUUUUCUCCAUUCUGUCAACGAUGGAGUUUCGGUUCCUUGCCGCUGUCGCCUCUGGCUUGCUUAGUUGGGGUCACUUCAUCUACAGCGAUAUCAUUGACUUGAUUGCAAAUAAAUGCACAGACACUAUUUAAACUGAACAGAGAUGACAUAACUGAAUUCAAUGAUGAACUGCCUUUAACUAUAAUUUUGCAUUAUUGAGACACUGUUUUCCUAAUGAAUGUUGUUCAGUGCUUUGAUGCAGUGUAUUUUGUUUAAAGCGCUAUAUAAAUAAAGGUGAUUGAUUGAUUGAA